AGAAGGUCCACUUUCAUUUUGCUGCCAAUGUUAAUAUGUAAACGUGUGAGUGCAAAUUAGUGAAUGUAGUUAAUGAUAAAAUAUGUUUAAGUGGGAAAAGAAGAUCCACUUUCAUUUUGCUGCCAAUGUUAAUAUGUAGACGUGUGAGUGCAAAAUUGGUGAAGUUUAUAAAUGAUAAAAUAUGCUUAAGUGGGAAAAAGUGGGGCAAGCCCACUCCCUUUUUCUUCUACCAAGGCAUUAUAACUUUGGGACUUUGUCUUGGUUUCGGACGAGAGAAAUUGUCAAAGUGGCGUGGUGAGUUGGAAAGAGUGGAAAUUUCAUUUGCUGUAUCCAGGUGUGGUUAACGGUGACCAGAUAGCCGAUACUUGAUUCAUUCCAGCUUUGUUCAGUCCAGUUCAGUAGAGGUGAGCCACCAUUAGAUCAUGGCGGCCUCUUCUUCUUUAGUUGACUUAGUAGUAUUCCGAGCUACGUCUCGUACUUUUAUAUUCAGACUAGCAGUUCCAUGACUUAGACAUUUUAUGGGGUUUAUGGGCAAGACUCAGUAUUUGUAUUUCGUUUCUGCACUUCUCUUUAUACUAUGAGACUUUGCGUAUUA